GGCUCGGCAGGUGGAGAGGCCAGAGCCAUCGUGGGCAUCUGCUCUGCGCAGUCCCCACUUCGGAGGGUCGAGGGUCGGGCUGGAAGUGCCUUGGAGGGGGCUGUAAAGGGAUGCGGGGCGCAGACGGUGCAGGGCCCCCAGAAUGCAAGCUCCACGCGCAGGGCCGUCUGCACGUUUGCUUUGCGGCUGUUUGUGCCUGCAAGAAUGGCUUAGGGGUACGGUAACGUUUGUUGGAUGAAUGACAAGCUAGGGAAUUGGGACUCAAUCCUAAAGAUAAGAAGGGAAGUGAUAGGGUCAGGUUGUUUCACAAAGAUUGUUCUGGUAGCCACUGUGGAGGAAGGAUCUGUGACACUGCAGGAGAGAAGAGGCCAGAGCAACAAGGGAAUGGGAAGACAGCUCCUUUGCAGGAUGUAAGUGCAGAGCUACAGAUGUCCAUCCCUUUGUCUGCUCACUAUUAAAGUAUUUAUUAUGUGCCAAGCACUAUUUUAGGUGCUGGAGUUACAAGCAGUAAACAAGACAGAGCCUCUGUCCUCACAGAACUUACACUUAAGUAUGGGAGGGAAGCAAGAAAUAAAUCAUUUCUGGUUGUGACCUCCAGGGCAGAGAAAGGGAGCUACAGUCAGCUGUUGCUCACACCCUGUGAACCUGGGAAGGGCCAAGGUGGAUUAUUGAAGCAGAGAUCACUAAUUAUUCUGGAAAAUAUCAGGCAUGUCUUCCUCCACCAUACUUUUCACCAUUCACUGAGACACUUAAGCUAGAAGCUCAAGCAUUAUCUAAGAUUCUUUCCUCUCAGUCACACCCCCACAACCUGUUAACAAUCUACUUACUUUCAAAAUGCCACACUUCAUCACAUCUAAGAUGUUAUCCCUCCUCAGACCAUUGUUUUAUAUAGCUCUAAGAAAGAUCUAAUUCUUGUUUGUUUUUCAAAACCCAAGCAGGCAUCAGCUCCUCCAAGAAGUCUUCCUGGAUUCUCCAAGCUAAGUAAGGCCCCUCUCCCUGGUGCUGCACGACAGUCCAUGCAUACCCGUCACAGCCCUUCUUAUUAUAGUUGUUGGCUUGUGUUUCUCCCCCCACCAGAGUGAGUCUCAUUCUGGGGUGCUCUCCGCCAAAACCUGGAACCUAGAAGAUGCUUAAUACCUAUGAAAUUAUUGGGUGGACAGAUGGGUGGGUGAAUGAAAAGUGACUACUGUGGAUAAUCCCAUUCUGAGGGGCUGCAUCCAAAAUCACCUCACAUUGUCACUAGCCUUCCCUAAGUGUGGUUAAGUGGCUUAACCAGGAAAGAGCAAUGGCACCGCCUGGUGGCCAGUGUGGGGAGUACAUCUUAUUGAGAAGAAACCGGUUUCUCUCUGAAUCACUGCUCUCCAGCUCCAGUGGUUAGGAAGUGUCAAGAGUGAGGCAGAUUUGAAUUUUCAAAUGAUCGAGCUGAUGACUGUGCAGAAUGGAUUGGAGAGGGGCUAGAGGGAGAAGCAGGGAUGCCAGCUGGGAGGCUGUUUUGUCAGAGCUGAGAGUAAAGUCCAGAUCUGUAACUUCAACAUCAGCAUACUUAAUCACUUUGUAAUACUGCCUCUUGUACACAGGAUUUCACUUUCUCCCUCUUACUGAACACUGUGGCAGACAGAUUCUAAGACCUGUCCAGUGAUGCAAUGAUGUCUCCCUUCUGGUAGUCAUGCCUCUGUGUGACUCACCUCCAUACGGGCUGGCCUAGUGACUUGUUUCUAACCAACGGAAAAUGGCAAAGGAGAUGAGAUGUCACUUCUGUGAUUAGACUACCUAAGACUGUAACUUCCAUCCCACUGGCACUCUCAUCCUUGUUCACUCUAAUGAAGAAGCCUGCCACGUUUCGGAGGCUAAUGUGGCAAGGAACUAAGGGCAACCUCCAGCUAACAGCUAAUGAUUGGAGCCCCUCAGGCCUACAACCCUCGAGGAACCAAAAUUCUGCCAAUAAUAUAAGUGAGCCUGGAAGCAGAUCCUUCCCCAGUCAGGCCUUUAGAUGAGAACCCAGCCCUGGCCAAAAAUUUGAAUGUAGCCUUGAAGGGUUUCAAGUAAAGAAGCCAUCAAAAUUGUGCCUGAACCCCUGACCUAUAGAAACUAUGAAAUAAUAAAUGUAUGUUGCUUUAAACCACUAAGUUUGUGAUUUAUUUGGUAACUAAUAAAACACCUACUCAAAAUGUGUCAUUAGCAUGGAGGUCAGACCUUUGUACAAACCUGGGAAGCUUUCCAUAUUCAGAAUCAACCACUGUACCACUAAUGUC